AGCACCUAAUCAAUGGUGAGACACUCCUUUCUCUGAGUGAGAAGAUGAUUGAUAAAUUAUACCCCAUCAUCAAGACACAAGUAAAAUUCACCAAAUUACUUGCUAAUUUAAAAGGAAAAGAUCUCCCUAAAUUCACUGGAAGGAAGCAACUCCAUCAGCAUGGCCUAAUUCCUUUCAGCUACCUGAGUUUCCAACUGUCCUGAAAUGCAAACUCAUGGAGGAGAGUUUGAACUUUCAUAACCCUGCCUAAAGAUCAAAGUGGAGGUCCCAGAUCAUUCAAGUCCUGUUUGACACAAUUUCUAUGUACACAUGGUAAGUUUAGCCUGAGGCAAUGUUUUUGUAAUGACACUGGGUUUCUUUUGCAUUCAUUCAGUCAUGGGGUGCCACCAUGGCAAAAUCAUUAGCACUACAGCUGAGAAAAAUUGAGAACUAAACAAAACUGCAUAUUUAAGGUACCCAACUAGUAGGCAGUACCAUGAUGUUUGUGCUACUCUUGUAUCUAAACGUCCUUUAUUCCGGGAUCGCACAGGACAAGGAUAUAGUAUCACAGAGAAAAGCAUGGCAAAAGGAGGCUGUCGGUGUCUUCAGCAGAAUGGAGGCACAACAACCAGCUAAGAAAGCCAUUAUGUCUGCUGGCGAGGAAGCUGUAAUUCAAGGCCACACCUUUGCAACCUCUACUAUCAAGGUAGUAACCACCAUAAAGCCUGCUGCACACUACAAGCUUCUUACAAGAGACAUCUGCUGGCAAGGAUGGAGAUGCUCUUGGCCAUGA
rnacentral:lncRNA from 1 species